AUUGAACGCUGGCGGCAGGCCUAAUACAUGCAAGUCGAGCGGAAACGAUGGAGCUUGCUCCAGGCGUCGAGCGGCGGACGGGUGAGUAACGCGUAGGAAUCUGCCCAGUAGAGGGGGAUAGCCCGGGGGAAACUCGGAUUAAUACCGCAUACGCCCUACGGGGGAAAGCAGGGGAUCUUCGGACCUUGCGCUAUUGGAUGAGCCUGCGUUGGAUUAGCUUGUUGGUGGGGUAAAGGCCUACCAAGGCGACGAUCCAUAGCUGGUCUGAGAGGAUGAUCAGCCACACUGGGACUGAGACACGGCCCAGACUCCUACGGGAGGCAGCAGUAGGGAAUAUUGGACAAUGGGGG
rnacentral:rRNA from 1 species